CCGGAAGUGCCCUUCCCAUAGGUGGAGGCGGCGGCGGAGCUGCGGGAGCUGGCGGGGGAGGGGCUGGCGGCCAUGGCGGGCGGGGCCGGAGGGGGCGUGGCCUUCGCCGCCGCCCUGCCCCCCAUGCUGGCCUGCCUGCGCGGCGACCUCCCGCCGCCCUCCGCGACCCCCACCCCGAGGUGCGCGGCAACGCCCUCUGCAGCCUGGGCCGCCUGGCCGCCAACGGGGCGGGGCAAAGCCCGUAUCCAUGGCAACGGGGGCGGGGCCGGGACGGGCGCCAUGGCAACGGGGUGGGAAAGGGGCGGGGCUUGGCUCGUUGCCAUGGCAACCGGGCGGGAGGGGAGGGGCGGGAGGGUGGGUGCCUAG
rnacentral:lncRNA from 1 species